GUGAAUCAUCGAAUCUUUGAACGCACAUUGCGCCCUUCGGUAUUCCGUUGGGCAUGCCUGUUCGAGCGUCAUUUAACCCUUCAAGCUCUGCUUGGUGUUGGGCGUUUGUUCCGCCUCCGCGCGUGGACUCGCCUCAAAUUCAUUGGCAGCCGGUAAGUUGGCUUCGUGCGCAGCACAUUGCGUCGCGACUCCAGCAUGCCUCCUUCCAGCAAGCUCUAUUAUCACUUUGACCUCGGAUCAGGUAGGGAUACCCGCUGAACUUAAGCAUAUCAAUAAGCGGAGGA
rnacentral:misc_RNA from 1 species